UACUGGCAAGGAGAGGAGGAAAGGUGAGCACAGCACGCCCGUGUGUUUGGGAGCAAAGCGAUCUGUUACAACACCUGCCACGAAUACUCCUCCUCUGUGCUUAGCAACCAGAGUCCCUGGGGACAGUGUCUCCAAACAAAGCAGGAGGCAGAUGGGGCAGGUUUCCAUUGGGAACGUACGGGCAUUUGAACACACCAGGAAGUGUGGACUGAAUGGACUGAAGAGUUGCCUGGUCCAACCGGAGCUGCUGGAAAAGCCCCCAAUGCAAUGCUGGCAAAAGUAAUGGAGCGAAGGACAAGAUAAGACAUCACUUGCUGUCAUCUGUGGCUUUAUUAAGAAUUAUGCCAACUGUCUUCCCAGAAAAGAAACCCUCCUGAACUUGCAGUCAUGGCAGCUGAUCACCCGUUUAGAAAGCAAAGCCAUUUUUGAUAUCUACAGAUCAUUAGCAUAGUUGUUUUGCAUAGUGUUGCUAACUCAGGAUUUCAUCAUGCUAUUCAAUGUUCUGGAGUCACGUUAGUUUGUGACAAUUUUAGCUUUCAAAAAGCAAGGCUUCAUGGUUAUGGCAAAAAGCUUGGAAAAUGUGACACCCUAAAGCAAUGUUUCCCGAACGGUGGGCCCUGACCUACCAAGUUACAGGAAGGUUCUAGAUGGGUUGCCAUAGGCAAACAUACAUUUGUCCCAGCCUGGUAAAGUGCAGGGGGUUAGAGAGCACAUCCACCCUGUAUUCACCCUACAGAGCGGUUUGUCCAGGCUCCUGGCUCUGGGCAUCAUGACCUGGUACACAAGGUUGCAGUGUCACUCAGGCCAAACCUAGUGGUACUGUGAUCCCAUGCACCAGAUCAUAAUGCCCAGGACGGAAGGCUGGACCCAGCCUUGUGGGAAAGGAGCCACUGCUGUGGGGUAAACUCACUUUCCAACCCCACCGGAGGCAGGGUGUGUGUGUCAUGUGGAGUCAUGUGCCCACUCAGAUUUGCUGCUUGGCUUGUACUGAGCAUACUCACUCACAGAGCAAUAACACCACUGAAACCGGCUGCCCUCACUCUGCCCCCCCCACUAUUGGCAGGCCUGGGUCAUCUCUGAACCCCACCAUAACCCCGGCAUCCCCUCCACACCAGGCCGGAGUUAAAAUUCCAGUGCCAGAGCAGAAGGUGCAUAUAUGUAAUAGGGUGUUGCAAAAAAUGACAAAAUGCAGUUGGUGGGUUGCCUUAGUACUGUUUGGGAGCCAGUGCCCUAAGAGAGACUACCAUGUAUUUUAAAAAGCCUCAGGAGUUUGGAGAGCCUGACUCAUGAUCUUUGAAUGCUUGGUAUAGGCAGCAGAGUGUGGAAGAGCACAGAGGCCCCAGUCUAGAUCAGCACCCCAUUGUCCUAGGUGCUGCACAAUCACACAGGAAGACAAUCACUACUCAAAAAGUCAAAUGCGCAGAAGUCCAAUGCCUGGGUAUGGCAAGAAACAGGCACACCGAAUGCAGACUGCAAGCAGCACGUGACUGACAACCAAGGCAGAUGUACAAGAAGGACCAUGAACAAGACAGACACCAUUUUAAACUCGCUCCCCAGAUCUGAAGGCAGCCUGUUGGAAUGAAAGGGAGAGAGCUAUUACAGGUUGGGGAUGGGGUCAACAAGCCAUUAAAUCCAUAAUUUUGUACGGAUCAUGAACAAAAACAGAGAUUCAAUUUACUUUGCAAUUCCCUUUCAUUAAGCAGCGUUUAAUCACAUGUGAAGAAGAUACCCAGGACCCCACAUAGAAGCCUCAUCAGCUAAUGAGGAGACUUGCUAUUCACAGAUCCCUUUUGCUUUGGAGGCCUAUAAGGCAGCACCCAUACAAACUGAUGUAGUAGCAAUAGCGUCACAUAUCCACCACUGGAAUGGAAUUUAAUUAACUCUUAGCUUCCAGUCCCAACCCCAGAAAUCUGCACCACCACCAGUUUGCGUGGAUCUCUCUCUGCUCUGCUUGGUGGUUAGCUAUUUUUCAGAUAUAGGGGAAAGUGAAGCAGCAACUGUGAAUGCUUAUGGAAGCGCCCCAGAGACACCCUGCUUGGUUCUUUAGUAUUAUUUAUUGGUACUGUGGUUGUGUCCAGGCAGCCCAGUCAUGGACCAGGACCCCGCUGUGCUAGGCACUGUACAAACAAAACAAAGACAUUCCCUGACCUAAAGAGCUUACAGCUCCUCUGUAAAUAAGAAAUAUCUUUAUUGUACUAUCAGAUGUAGUCAGGUUUGGUUUGUGGUUGCAGUUAAAGCAAUAUGACAACAGACAAAGAUCUAAAAAGAUCCAAUGGCUGGAAGAAGCAUCUAGACAAGUUCAAGCUAGAAACAAGGUGCAAAUUUUUAACAUUAAACUUCCCGACCAACUUCCCAAGGGCUGUGGUGGAUUCUCCGUCAUUGGCAAUUUUUAAAUCAAGACUGGAUGUUUUUCUGAAAGAUCUGCUCUAGUUCAAAGAGGAAAUAAUUCAGUGAAGUUCUAUGGCCUGUUUUACACAGGAGGUCAGACUAGAUGAUCACAAUGUCUCUUCUUUAUUUAUAAACUAGGACUAUAUGACAUACGCAGAGACAGUGAAUUUAGUUCUAGUCUAGCCUGUGUAGGUGAAGCUGAACUAAUCAGCUUUGUACAUCUUUAAUUUCUCUGAAAAUCCAUUUUGUAGACUUAAAAAAAUUCUGUAAGAACUACACCUUAGAGGUACAUGUAAUAACAGCCUUAUAUUUAUAUUGCUCCAGAUACAAAGUCUUCAUGAAACAGGAAUCUGUUCAACUCUGAAAAGCAGCCAGUUCUAGGGUGGAACAUGGCAGCUGUUUAACAGCUCAGAGCAACACUACGCAACAGUUUUUAGGCCAGGGAUAUCACGCACAAUUCAACUGCAGGAUAAAUCAGGGCAAGUAGAACAUAAUUCCCUGAAUUUGUCCAGGACAGCACAGCUAAUGCUGUAAUGCUCUAGUAUCAUGCCAGCCUCCCAACUUCCCAGUAAAGUUUUACUCAAGUGUUAGCUACCUAGAGGGCUGGCAGUUUCAUGGUUUCUCUAGCACAGUGGGGGGGGGGGGGGCGGGGGAGGGGAAUUCCCACCCCCUAAAGCCAGGGGAAUCAUGUUGGAAGUCUGUUUGCAAUGUGAGCAUUUAAAUACAUAGCUACAGUUGGCACCCCGGGGUGGGUAAGACACCUGCAGCCUUUGCAAGUGUUUAAAAGACGAGCCUUUGCUUUUUUAUAACAGAGGCAGCUUGAAUGAACCAUCUCUCCACCUGCCAGCCAAUCUGCCUUGCCUGCAACCAACUUCUCAGUGCUGGGAGGAGUCAGAGGAAGUGCUGCUCGCCUUGAUAACAGGAAGUCUGCCCUCUACCAAGGCCCAUAGAAGAAAGACUGUAUGAAUUCUUUGUCAAUUUCCUAUUUACCGUUCACAGCAACCUCUCCUCCCUACCUAUAGCUUUCAUGGGGAAAACCUGCAAAGCCAAAGAACUCUCCAAGGAAAAAAAGCUUUCCUAGGCAUCAUGAAUUAACUGAUAACUUGAUCAAAACCCCUUUCACCUAAAGUAGCAGCAUUGCAGAAGAGAAUUCAGGAGUAUAAGGUUUUAUACUGAAUAGACUGGAGUGGGAGGGGUGUGACGGACACACUUGGCCUUUGUCUAAGGUUAAAGCAGGCAUCAGAUUCAGGGUAACCCUGACAAGCGUUUAACAAAGGGGGAAACGUUAUUUUUUAAGACUGCUGAAGGAAGCUUUUAUAUAAAAGGAAAAUUACAGUCCAAUUAUCUUGUAAAACUUCAAACUGUUAGAGGGCGGUCGCAGGAAUGAGCUCUUCAACAGAAGCAAUUUUAAUAGCUGCAUUAACUCUAGCAGCCAGAGGAAAGAGCUCGCAAGAGAGUAUUUGCUAGAAGCAAGAUUCACAUCCUAAGGACCUUACGGUGCACCGAGGCUCUUUAUUUGGAAUAAUUCUCCGCCCCCAAACAUCUAAAGCUGCUUUCUCUAGCAGACACCUGUCCUCACCGGCUAUAAGGUUCUUUUACAUUUCCAACUACUCUCAGUAAAACACACUGGAUUUUUGCAGAAUGAAAAUACAUUGAGAAAUGGAAAGGGGAUGCCUAACGUGUGUGUGUGUGUGUGUCUGUGUGAGAGAGAGAGAGAGUGAGUGUGUGUGUGAGAGAGAGAGAGAUUAUAUAACUGAUUUACUACUCCCCUUGUAGCUACGAAAUGUAUAUCAGUACUCUCCAGUUCAGCUCAAAGACUCAUCACUGGGAUUCUGAGUUGACAAAUGUUCCCAAUCUAUUAUUUUUCAAAGCAUGCAUCCUUUCACAUGUCAGUGUCAGAAAUACGGAAUGGAGCCAGUGAUCAAUACUGGGCUGGGAGAAAUCCUUCUCAGGCUGCAGAAUUAUUUCCCAAUCACUGGAAGUGGGACCAGGAGCUGGGCCUGCUCAUUCACCUUGCUCAAAGACAGACUUCACUCUUUGUAUUUGGGGUACUUUGUGCAGAUCAACCAAUGCAGUGGUUUCCAACCUGUGGUCCGUGGACCAUUGGGGGUCUGCAGACUAUGUCUAAGAUUUCCAAAGGGGUCUGCACCUCCAUUCGAAUUUUUUUAGGGGGUCUCCAAAUGAAAAAGAGGUUGAAAGCCACUGACUAAUGUUUCCCUUCCAAACCAGGAAAGGAGAAUACAGUCAGAAAUCCCCUGGCUGGCUUGACAAGACUGAUAGCCCAGCACUGUGCAGCCGGGCAAUUGUUCACAUGGGACUUUUUGUAGCAAGAACCAUAAGGCACCUGAUCAAUAACCACUGUGAAGCGAAGGCAUCAUUCACAGAACAGACACAGCAAAGGUAGCAGCUGCCACACAUCACCUACCCCCACCACUAGUCUACAGGAAGCAGAUGGGAGUUCAGCCUUUGGCUCCUCUAACUAACCUGCGCCAAUUAGCACCAAAUAUGUCUGCAUUCCAAAGCUGCCAUUCUCCCUGUUCAGAACCCCACCAGCUCAUUCUACUCUACCCACUGAACAGGGUAUAGGCCUGCUUGCACGUUUUCCACUGGCAGGAUCCUCUCUGUUAGGGCUGUGAUUAUUUACCCAUCUAUGUACAGCAGUACUGCCCCUAGUGCGGAUGCAGUGACAUCGGGAUCAAAGUGCCUUAUACCCGCAGUUUAUUCCCCUUCCCAGGAAAACACACACCCCUGAGCGACAUAAGUUUCGCUAGCAUCAGUGGUAGUGUGCACAGUGCUAUGUCAGCAGGAGAGCUUCUCCCGCCAGCACAGCUUCUGCUGCUCAUUGAGGUGGUUUUAUUAUGUUGACGGGAGCGCCCUCUCCCAGCGGUAUAGAGCGGCUACACAGCAAUCUCACAGCAGUGCAGCUGUGUUGGUCUAGCUGUGCCGCGGUAAGAUCACUAGUGUAGACAUGGCUUAGUGUUUGAUAGUUAGCUGUUGCCAUAAAACCAAAAAAGGAAGCUCAGGACUAAAGAUACUGGAUUUUGGGCAGGCCCUACACAAAUAAGUGAUAUAGUUUUGUUUGUUUACAUUUCCUCAGCAACAGGAAUGGUAUAUUUACACCCCCAGCCACCCUCACCUAUUUAGCUUAACAAAAAGAGGAAGUUAAAAGGUGACCAGAUUCCAUUCAUAAAUAUUUAAGGAGGAGAAGAUUUCUGGUAGCAGAGGGCUCUCAAAAAGAGACCCAAUGGGAGCAAGCUAGACAAAGUCAGGCUAGAAAUAAGGUACAAAUUUCUCACAGGAAAGGUGAUUCCCACUGGAACAAACUCCCAAGGAAAGGGGUGGAUUUACAACCGCUUAUUCUCUUCAAAUCCAGCCUGGCUUCCUUUCUGGAAGAUCUGAUUUAGUCAGACGAGUGAAUGGGCUCAAGGUAACUGAGUGUAAUUCUCUGGUCUGUGCUAUAUUGGAGUCAGACUAGAUGAUCUAAUGGCCCCUUCUGGCCUUGAACUUCCUGAAUCCAUAAAGAAAGGAUUUUGCGCUCCAGUGUGUUCAGACAGGCCAGAAGCCCAGUAGCUGUUUGCCUCACUGCAGCAAUUCCAGAGCCAGAGCAUGAAAAAGGAACAAGAAGUCAGACAAAAAAAGGCAGCUUCAUGCUGCAGCUAUGCAGGCCACAGUUCAGGAAGGAAACACAGCUCAGCCUUCCCACCAAGUCCAUCUAGAUCUCAAACCCUUCCAACGGCUCGGUGUGCACGCUGCAAACAUGGAUGUAGGCUGCCUCCACCUAGCACACCAAGCACUGCAGGAUUUGGGAGACAGCAAGAUUACAGAGAGCAACAAUCUGCAAGCCUCCAUUAGCCUCCCUGAUAUAACUCAUGGAACAGGUAGGGGGGUUCAUUGUAGGGAAAUCUCAUUAACUUGCCAUCAGGAAAGUAACGGGCUAGUUUGUCAGGGCUGUCAUAGUGGCAAGCUCCAUCCUUAAUGAACGUGCAGCUUGCCACACCUUGAGAGAUUCAGCGCCAUCAGUUGUCAUGGUAGAUAACAGAGAUUUUCCCGAAGACAGACUACCAGUGGCCCGGGAGGAUCAGGACAUUGGAAUGACACUAGUACAGCACGUAGGGCACUGGCUGCUGUAAUGACCUAUCAAAGGAAACCUGCUCAACACUUUCAAAAGACAAGCCUGGGAGCUUAAAUUCAUAACUCAUUCAUAAUUCUGAUAGACACUAAAAAUCAGGUCUGAAAAGAGACCCUGGAUUUAUGGCUGAUUACAACAAUCUGUAACCCACUAACCCCCCUUUUUAUCCUAUGACUACACGGGUGUUAAUGGGCCACUUCACCUUGAAUGGUCCCUUAGAAUAUGUGUUUCAGAGUAGCAGCCGUGUUACUC